rnacentral:rRNA from 1 species
GACGAACGCUGGCGGCGUGCUUAACACAUGCAAGUCGAACGGAAAGGCCCUGCUUUUGUGGGGUGCUCGAGUGGCGAACGGGUGAGUAACACGUGAGUAACCUGCCCUUGACUUUGGGAUAACUUCAGGAAACUGGGGCUAAUACCGGAUAGGGGCUCCUGCUGCAUGGUGGGGGUUGGAAAGUUUCGGCGGUUGGGGAUGGACUCGCGGCUUAUCAGCUUGUUGGUGGGGUAGUGGCUUACCAAGGCUUUGACGGGUAGCCGGCCUGAGAGGGUGACCGGCCACAUUGGGCCUGAGAUACGGCCCAGACUCCUACGGGAGGCAGCAGUGGGGAAUAUUGCACAAUGGGCGGAAGCCUGAUGAAGCAACGCCGCGUGCGGGAUGACGGCCUUCGGGUUGUAAACCGCUUUCGCCUGUGACGAAGCGUGAGUGACGGUAAUGGGUAAAGAAGCACCGGCUAACUACGUG